CAGUCGGGCCGGCAACAUGAUACUGUAACAAGAAGCAAACGUUGAAGCUCUCGGUUUUUAACAGUUCUUCGGCUAGAACUUUGCUAUGGGUUGAAUGUGCGCAUAUACUGGAUGCUGAAACUAAACGACAAGCUUUAUGAAACCGUGGCAUUUUGCGUUGAGAUGGAAAAGGAAUGCGCCACACUCUCCUGGAUACGAGGCUACGUGUGUGCGGCUUUUGCGCCAAAGGUCUUUCUACCAGCAAAACAAAAUAGCAGGACAGAAGUGACAGCGUCAGAAAGAAAACAAUGCUGUUCCGAUUGCUGAUGGAGACAACAGAGAAAGACAGGAGAAGGUCAAGACUCAAGAGCUGGACUUUCCAUGACGUCCUCAAUCGACCCCUGUGAAUAGCAGCCCACCGUUGACCAGCCAUCAGUAUCUACUGUGCAGUCAUUUCCUGACCCGGUUUCUCACUAGCCCUUCGCAGACGAACACUACCACCUGAAGACGGUCGUCUGGAUAAUACUUCGGUUUGGCACCGGCAUGGUCUACCACAAAGAUAGACGCCAGACCUUCUGAAAGGACCUAAUGGACUGAGUGCUGGAAAGGAGACAACCCCUCUAUAGAAUAAACUGAGUGUAACAAACACUCCACCACGAAAACUCUCCACUCCAGUCCCAAGAACAGACAUGUAUGUUUUAGUGUCAUGACGGAGCAAUCAUUUCGGAAGGUCCUAAACCCUAUUUAUCUAAAAUACUUUCUGAUGUUUCAUAGUGACAUCUUGGUUACCCAAUAAGACAUUUCUUACAUUAUUACAAGAUUCUUCACUUCUUCCUACAUUGUUAAUGACUGAAUGAUUACAAGUAUGAUGUACACAUUGUUAUUGGUCACACCUGCUGACAUUAAAGUCCCAGUAAAAUCUUCUCUCUUUUCCUUUAUGUAAAGAAGGUAAAGUAAUGACUCUUGAGGCAGUAAUGACAAAUGGAUAAAUGUGUAAAAUUUAUUUUCAAUGGCCAUCACAUUAUAUUGAUGACCUAAGUUCAAGAGAGUCCUUGUGCACAAGCCCUCAGCAAUGCAGGUGCUGAUGUGAGGCAGGAGAAGGUGAACAAUGAACAAAAUUCAAAAGACAUUUCACACUGCUUAUUGUUCUUUUUC